UACGUAGGGUGCGAGCGUUAAUCGGAAUUACUGGGCGUAAAGCGUGCGCAGGCGUCUUGCAAGACAGAUGUGAAAUCCCCGGGCUCAACCUGGGAACUGCAUUUGUGACUGCAAGGCUGGAGUGCGGCAGAGGGGGAUGGAAUUCCGCGUGUAGCAGUGAAAUGCGUAGAUAUGCGGAGGAACACCGAUGGCGAAGGCAAUCCCCUGGGCCUGCACUGACGCUCAUGCACGAAGCGUGGGAGCGAUCCGG
rnacentral:rRNA from 1 species